UACGUAGGGGGCAAGCGUUGUCCGGAAUCAUUGGGCGUGAAGCGCGCGUAGGCGGCCCGGUAAGUCCGCUCUGAAAGUCCAGGGCUCAACCCUGGAAAGCGGGUGGAUACUGCCGGGCUAGAAUCCGGAAGAGGCGAGUGGAAUUCCUGGUGUAGCGGUGGAAUGCGCAGAUAUCAGGAGGAACACCAAUAGCGAAGGCAGCUCGCUGGGACGGUAUUGACGCUAAGGCGCGAAGGCGUGGGGAGCAAACAGG
rnacentral:rRNA from 1 species